GAUGAAGAACGCAGCGAAAUGCGAUAAGUAAUGUGAAUUGCAGAAUUCAGUGAAUCAUCGAAUGUUUGAACGCUCAUUGCGGCCGCCAGUAUUCUGGCGGGCAUGCCUGUUCGAGCGUCAUUUCAACCAUCAAGCCCCCGGCUUGUGUUGGGGACCUGCGGCUGCCGCAGGCCCUGAAAAGCAGUGGCGGGCUCGCUGUCACACCGAGCGUAGUAGCAUACAUCUCGCUCCGGGCGUGCUGCGGGUUCCGGCCGUUAAACCACCUUCAUAACCCAAGGUUGACCUCGGAUCAGGUAGGAAGACCCGCUGAACUUAAGCAUAUCAAUAAGCGGAGGA
rnacentral:misc_RNA from 1 species